GGCGGACGGGUGAGUAAUGUCUGGGAAACUGCCUGAUGGAGGGGGAGUAACUACUGGAAACGGUAGCUAAUACCACAUAACGUCGCAAGACCAAAGAGGGGGACCUUCGGGCCUCUUGCCAUCGGAUGUGCCCAGAUGGGAUUAGCUAGUAGGUGGGGUAACGGCUCACCUAGGCGACGAUCCCUAGCUGGUCUGAGAGGAUGACCAGCCACACUGGAACUGAGACACGGCCCAGACUCCUACGGGAGGCAGCAUG
rnacentral:rRNA from 1 species